UACAAAAUUUUAGUGCGAAGCU
rnacentral:miRNA from 1 species